rnacentral:rRNA from 1 species
AGAGUUGAUCCUGGCUCAGGAUGAACGCUGGCGGCGUGCCUAAUACAUGCAAGUCGAGCGAACAGAUAAGGAGCUUGCUCCUUUGACGUUAGCGGCGGACGGGUGAGUAACACGUGGGUAACCUACCUAUAAGACUGGAAUAACUCCGGGAAACCGGGGCUAAUGCCGGAUAACAUUUAGAACCGCAUGGUUCUAAAGUGAAAGAUGGUUUUGCUAUCACUUAUAGAUGGACCCGCGCCGUAUUAGCUAGUUGGUGGGGUAACGGCUUACCAAGGCAACGAUACGUAGCCGACCUGAGAGGGUGAUCGGCCACACUGGAACUGAGACACGGUCCAGACUCCUACGGGAGGCAGCAGUAGGGAAUCUUCCGCAAUGGGCGAAAGCCUGACGGAGCAACGCCGCGUGAGUGAUGAAGGUCUUCGGAUCGUAAAACUCUGUUAUUAGGGAAGAACAAAUGUGUAAGUAACUGUGCACGUCUUGACGGUACCUAAUCAGAAAGCCACGGCUAACUACGUGCCAGCAGCCGCGGUAA